rnacentral:lncRNA from 1 species
UCAAAGGGAAGCAAUACUGCUGACACCUUGAUUUCAGAUUUCUAGCCUCCAAAACUCUGAGACAACACAUUUCUGCUGUUUUAAGACAUGCCAUUUGGGGUACUUUGUUACAGCAGACCCAGGAAAUUAGUGCAUGGCUAAAGGCCUGGGAACUGCCAAGAAGUGCAGAACAUUUGUGAUGAUAAAGCAGCAACUUCAGCAGUUCAUCUGGAUCCUGACCAGAAGCCCACAGACAAAUCUAUCAGCGUCCAGCAUAAUUACAGCAUUUGCAGAUUAGCUAGAGCACACACUGCCAUGAGCAGGCAAGCUCAUUUCUUUCUUCUUCUUCUUCUUUUUUUAAACCUCAUCUGAAAAUCACAAUUACUGUUUGGGAAAUGAAGGGGAGAACUGUCAAUACCAGGCCCGAUGAACCACACAGUGGAGAUUUACUGUUUUAUUAGAAAACUUAUCUUGGACUUCUAGACUAAUUGAGGUCUGAGCUAGUCUUUGAAAUUGCUGCUCAAGCUUCACAUUUUGAUGGAAAGAAUGGGAGCAAGGGAUGCAGUUUGGUACUAACAUUUAAGUCCAGAAUUCCUCCCUGCAUGUCCCUCUGUAGCUGCUCAUGUUUAAUUAUCCUUAAAUAUAAUUGCUAUACAGAGUAUACCAUAGUAUUAGUCUUAAUGUGCUAGUGAAGCUAUGAC